UAUGUAGUACUAGUAGUAGUAUUCAUUAGAGUGUAUAAUUUAUUCACGUGAGGUUGUCCAUAAGCUUAUUCUUGGAAUUAUUUUCCUAUGUACUCUGCUAAAGAGUGGUAUAAAUGUGCACUCAAUGAUUUAUCAUAUUUUCUACUUUUGGCUAUGCACAGAAGGAAGUAUGGUCUAUGGUGAUGUAUAUAACACGCUUAAACUCAAUGUUUACAGAAUUGACACAGUCAAUUAUCACUGAAUUUAAUGUAUUUGUUUUACAGAAUCAAUUGGAGUAAAGGUAGCUAUUAUUACCCUGAUAAUACAUUUCGAAAGAUUUAAGUUUAAAGUCUAACGGCGGAUGUAACCUCAGAAGCUUAUUAGAUAAUAGUUUAUGAUGUCUGUUAAUAUAUUCUAUUAAAUGUUCUGUUGUAGCUGUGUGGAUUUGAUGUUGGUUAAUUUCAGAGAGGAGCAGUUCUUAAAAAAUUAGACUUGGAGUUGAAGGCAUGAGUGCUGGGGCUAGAGACUGCUGGUUGUAUUGUACCUCUUGAGGUAGCAUAUGGAAAUUCCUCCCAAUGCAACAACCAUUGAGCUGGACGUUGAGUUGCUGACUAUCAAACAAAACUCAUUCGGGUUGCCAAGUGUGUCAAAAUCAGGUUGCCCGAUCUAGUUCUUCUGGCUGUUGUCAGUUGAUGAUGCAUGGAGAUAAUAGGGGAUUGUU